rnacentral:siRNA from 1 species
GAAGAGAUACCAUAAAGCUACUGC